rnacentral:lncRNA from 1 species
CCAGAGCAGGAUAGUGUUUGGCCCACCAGCGUUAGGCAGGCUGCGGGGUAAGCUCCGCCUCACGGGGAGCCUGGCGCAUCAUUGGCUCUCCCUCUCACCAAUCUCCACACCCUUUCUGUUUUCCUCGUUCCCUCAGCCCCACGAACCCCGGGAGAUUUAAACCGCGCCUUACUAGUGAUGUCCAUUCACUAGGAACCUGCUUCCCCAGAAAGGAGAUGUGUGAAGAUUCUUUGUCCUCUAGGAUACAGACAGUGAGUGUAGGAGUUAGCACAGAACCUUGCUAUGCCAGGCAGGGAAUGAAGAGUCUUAGAACCAAUGGAUUCCACUCCUUUGGAUGACCUCCUGGAUGACUGGCUCCAGGCCCUGGAGCCCUCAGAAUAUGGAUGGAGAGUAUCCUUUGCUGAAACCCACUGGAGCAGGGUCACAGAUGGGGUUUGGCCCAUGAGGGCAUAAUUAAGAUGCAGUUCAAAGCAGUGGCUCAAGAACAAAAGACUAAAAAGGGGGCAGCAGGGAAAGAGCAGGACAUGAGUAAAAAAUCCUUGGGAACUAAAAGUGGAAUAAGGAGAUUUAAUUAUGGGUAGGAGUGUUGGGCUGCACUGGGAGGCCAUUUUAUAGAUGACGAAAGGGGAUGUAACCUUCCUUUGAAAUGAGGCCUGAAACUUGACUUGCA